rnacentral:rRNA from 1 species
CCUACGGGUGGCAGCAGUCGAGAAUCAUUCACAAUGGGGGAAACCCUGAUGGUGCGACGCCGCGUGGGGGAAUGCAGGUCUUCGGAUUGUAAACCCCUGUCAUGUGGGAGCAAAUUAAAAAGAUAGUACCACAAGAGGAAGAGACGGCUAACUCUGUGCCAGCAGCCGCGGUAAUACAGAGGUCUCAAGCGUUGUUCGGAAUCACUGGGCGUAAGGCGUGCGUAGGCUGUUUCGUAAGUCGUGUGUGAAAGGCGCGGGCUCAACCUGAGAACGGCACAUGAUACUGCGAGACUAGAGUAAUGGAGGGGGAAGCGGAAUUCGCGGUGUAGCAGUGAAAUGCGUAGAUAUCGAGAGGAACACUCGUGGCGAAGGCGGGUUCCUGGACAUUAACUGACGCUGAGGCACGAAGGCCAGGGGAGCGAAAGGGAUUAGAUACCCCUGUAGUC